rnacentral:rRNA from 1 species
ACUCCUACGGGAGGCAGCAGUGGGGAAUAUUGGACAAUGGGCGCAAGCCUGAUCCAGCCAUGCCGCGUGAGUGAUGAAGGCCCUAGGGUUGUAAAGCUCUUUCACCGGUGAAGAUAAUGACGGUAACCGGAGAAGAAGCCCCGGCUAACUUCGUGCCAGCAGCCGCGGUAAUACGAAGGGGGCUAGCGUUGUUCGGAUUUACUGGGCGUAAAGCGCACGUAGGCGGACUAUUAAGUCAGGGGUGAAAUCCCGGGGCUCAACCCCGGAACUGCCUUUGAUACUGGUAGUCUUGAGUUCGAGAGAGGUGAGUGGAAUUCCGAGUGUAGAGGUGAAAUUCGUAGAUAUUCGGAGGAACACCAGUGGCGAAGGCGGCUCACUGGCUCGAUACUGACGCUGAGGUGCGAAAGCGUGGGGAGCAAACAGGAUUAGAUACCCCAGUAGUCCCAUGAU